GACAAACGCUGGCGGUGUGCUUAACACAUGCAAGUCGAACGGAGCGAAUGAAAGCUUGCUUUUAUGAGCUUAGUGGCAAACGGGUGAGUAACACGUAGACAACCUGCCGAUCAGAUGGGGACAACAUUCCGAAAGGAAUGCUAAUACCGAAUGGCGUGGAGGGAAGGCAUCUUCCUUUCAUGAAAGAUGGCCUCUAUAUAUAAGCUAUCACUGAUCGAUGGGUCUGCGUCUGAUUAGCUAGUAGGUAAGGUAACGGCUUACCUAGGCGACGAUCAGUAGCCGGUCUGAGAGGAUGAACGGCCACAUUGGGACUGAGACACGGCCCAGACUCCUACGGGAGGCAGCAGUGGGGAAUCUUCCGCAAUGGGCGCAAGCCUGACGGAGCAACGCCGCGUGAGUGAAGAAGGUCUUCGGAUCGUAAAGCUCUGUUGAAGGGGACGAACGUAUAUAGUGCGAAUAGUGCUGUGUAAUGACGGACCUUUGA
rnacentral:rRNA from 1 species